rnacentral:rRNA from 1 species
UACGUAGGGUGCAAGCGUUGUCCGGAAUUAUUGGGCGUAAAGAGCUCGUAGGCGGUUUGUCGCGUCUGCUGUGAAAACUCGGGGCUCAACUCCGAGCUUGCAGUGGGUACGGGCAGACUAGAGUGCGGUAGGGGAGACUGGAAUUCCUGGUGUAGCGGUGAAAUGCGCAGAUAUCAGGAGGAACACCGAUGGCGAAGGCAGGUCUCUGGGCAUUAACUGACGCUGAGGAGCGAAAGCAUGGGGAGCGAACAGG